CCUACGGGUGGCAGCAGUGGGGAAUAUUGGACAAUGGGGGCAACCCUGAUCCAGCCAUGCCGCGUGUGUGAAGAAGGCCCUCGGGUUGUAAAGCACUUUCAGUGAGGAAGAACGCCUGGUGGUUAAUACCCAUCAGGAAAGACAUCACUCACAGAAGAAGCACCGGCUAACUCCGUGCCAGCAGCCGCGGUAAUACGGAGGGUGCGAGCGUUAAUCGGAAUUACUGGGCGUAAAGCGCGCGUAGGUGGCUUGAUAAGCCGGUUGUGAAAGCCCCGGGCUCAACCUGGGAACGGCAUCCGGAACUGUCAAGCUAGAGUGAAGGAGAGGAAGGUAGAAUUCCCGGUGUAGCGGUGAAAUGCGUAGAGAUCGGGAGGAAUACCAGUGGCGAAGGCGGCCUUCUGGACUGACACUGACACUGAGGUGCGAAAGCGUGGGUAGCAAACAGGAUUAGAUACCCCAGUAGUC
rnacentral:rRNA from 1 species